rnacentral:miRNA from 1 species
UUCCCCACUCCCCUUUUCUCUACUUAUACUUCCUUUUGUUUUUUUUUUUUUUCUUUAUACUUAAUUUUAAAAAGUAUUUAAAAGCAAAAGGGAGUGUAAGUGGAGAAAAAUAGAGUGUGGAA